rnacentral:rRNA from 1 species
AAUUAACCCACACCCACCAACGCCAGGGAACUACGAGCUUAAGCUUAAAACCCAAAGGACUUGACGGUGUCCCACCCAACUAGAGGAGCCUGUUCUAUAAUCGAUAAUCCACGAUACACCUAACCAUCUCUUGCUUCCAGCCUGUAUACCUCCGUCGUAAGCCUACCAUAUGAAUGCAUAGCAGUAGGCCCAAGGGCUAAACGCCACAACGUCAGGUCAAGGUGCAGCUCAUGACAUGGAAAGUAAUGGGCUACAAUUUCUAACUUAGAACAAACGAAACACUGCAUGAAACACAGUUAUGAAGGUGGAUUUAGUAGUAAAUAGGGAACAGAGAGCCCUAUUAAACCUAGGCCCUGGGACGCGUACAAACCGCCCGUCACCCUCUUCCACAGCCCUUAAACAAUUUAUAAUUUAAUCCUGCGUCACAGAAGAGGCAAGUCGUAACAUGGUAAGUGUACUGGAAAGUGCGCUUGGAAC